UACAGAGGUGGCAAGCGUUGUUCGGAUUUAUUGGGCGUAAAGGGUCCGUAGGCGGUUCGGAAAGUUGGAUGUGAAAUCCUACAGCUUAACUGUAGAACUGCAUUCAAAACUCCCGAACUAGAGUAUGGAAGGGGUGAAGGGAAUUCCCGGUGUAAGGGUGAAAUCUGCAGAGAUCGGGAGGAACACCAGUCGCGAAGGCGCUUCACUGGUCCAUUACUGACGCUCAGGGACGAAAGCUAGGGGAGCAAAC
rnacentral:rRNA from 1 species